AGUCGAACGGAUAUUUUUGGUGUAGCAAUUCAUCGAAAAUUUUAGUGGCGAAAGGGUGAGUAACACGUGGGUAACCUGCCCCGAAGAUUGGGAUAACCCGUCGAAAGAUGGGCUAAUACCGAAUAAGACCACGAUCUCUACGGAGGUUGUGAGAAAAGGUGGCGCAAGCUACCACUUCAGAAUGGGCCCGCGGUCUAUCAGCUUUUGGUAGGGUAACGGCCUACCAAGGCUGUGACGGGUAGCUGGUCUGAGAGGAUGGUCAGCCACAUCGGAACUGAGACACUGUCCGGACACCUACGGGUGGCUGCAGUCGAGAAUCUUUCGCAAUGGGGGAAACCCUGGCGAAGCGACGCCGCGUGCAGGAUGAAGGCCUUCGGGUUGUAAACUGCUGUCAGGAGGGACGAAAAGCAACGGACAGAAACGGUCGUUGUUUGACUGUACCUUCAAAGGAAGCCACGGCUAACUCUGUGCCAGCAGCCGCGGUAAGACAGAGGUGGCAAGCGUUGUUCGGAUUCAUUGGGUGUAAAGGGUGCGUAGGCGGCUCGUUAAGUCGGAUGUGAAAUCCUGCAGCUCAACUGCAGAACUGCAUACGAUACUGACGGGCUAGAGUCUCCAAGAGGAAGAUGGAAUUCUCGGUGUAAGGGUGAAAUCUGCAGAGAUCGAGAAGAACAUCAACGGCGAAGGCAAUCUUCUGGGGGAAGACUGACGCUGAGAGCACGACAGCCAGGGGAGCGAACGGGAUUAGAUACCCCGGUAGUCCUGGCCGUAAACGAUGAGGACUAAGUGUUGGAUGGCCUUGAGCUGUUCAGCGCCGCCGCUAACGCAUUAAGUCCUCCACCUGGGGAGUACGGUCGCAAGGCUGAAACUCAAAGAAAUUGACGGGGACCCGCACAAAUGGUGGAGCAUGUGGUUUAAUACGACAUACGCGUGGAACCUUACCAGGGCUUGACAUGUACUUGACAGCCUAUGAAAGUAGGUCUUCCCUUCGGGGACAGGUACACAGGUGUUGCAUGGCUGUCGUCAGCUCGUGUCGUGAGAUGUUGGGUUAAGUCCCGCAACGAGCGCAACCCUUGCCCUUUGUUGCUAACGGUUCGGCCGAGCACUCGAAGGGGACCGCUGCAGAUAAUGCAGAGGAAGGUGAGGAUGACGUCAAGUCAGUACGGCCCUUACGCCCUGGGCUACACACGUGCUACAAUGUCUGGUACAAUGGGAUGCAAACCCGCGAGGGGGAGCCAAUCCAAAAAGCCAGGCCCAGUUCGGAUUGGAGGCUGCAAUUCGCCUCCAUGAAGCUGGAAUCAUUAGUAAUCCCAUAUCAGCCACGAUGGGGUGAAUACGUUCCCGGGUCUUGUACACACCGCCCGUCAAGUGACCCGAGUUAUUUGC
rnacentral:rRNA from 1 species